GAUGAACGCUGGCGGCGUGCCUAAUACAUGCAAGUCGAGCGAAUGGAUUAAGAGCUUGCUCUUAUGAAGUUAGCGGCGGACGGGUGAGUAACACGUGGGUAACCUGCCAUAAGACUGGGAUAACUCCGGGAAACCGGGGCUAAUACCGGAUAACAUUUUGAACCGCAUGGUUCGAAAUUGAAAGGCGGCUUCGGCUGUCACUUAUGGAUGGACCCGCGUCGCAUUAGCUAGUUGGUGAGGUAACGGCUCACCAAGGCAACGAUGCGUAGCCGACCUGAGAGGGUGAUCGGCCACACUGGGACUGAGACACGGCCCAGACUCCUACGGGAGGCAGCAGUAGGGAAUCUUCCGCAAUGGACGAAAGUCUGACGGAGCAACGCCGCGUGAGUGAUGAAGGCUUUCGGGUCGUAAAACUCUGUUGUUAGGGAAGAACAAGUGCUAGCUGAAUAAGCUGACACCUUGACGGUACCUAACCAGAAAGCCACGGCUAACUACGUGCCAGCCGCCGCAGUAA
rnacentral:rRNA from 1 species